rnacentral:lncRNA from 12 species
UAAGAGUUUGCUAGAGAUAUGCUGAAAUUGUUAAGACUCUGGAAAACUCCCACCAAUUAUCUCUGUCAGCAGUAGCGAAGUGAGUUGUUCAUAAGACUCACUGGGAAGCAGCUGUGAGUCACAAACCUGACAAAAUAUCUGGUUAUAAUUGCCUCCAGAGAUUAUGAUCUUUGCUUUUUUUCAUCCUCUGAAUCUCAAGUAAAUGCCUCUCAUUGGAAACCUGUAACCUCAUACCGUUGGUAAAAGGAUUGGGGGGAAUGUAACAGUUCAUUUCUCUUUUGUUUUGCAAGGAAACCUUAGAAUGAGGUUGUGGUGCUAUUGGCUUGCCGACAGACAGUCCAACACAGGCCCCCCCUUUGUUCAACUCAGCAUCCACAAAUGAAGA